GAUGAACGCUGGCGGCGUGCCUAACACAUGCAAGUCGAACGAACAGACGAGGAGCUUGCGCCUCUGACGGUAGCGGCUGACGGGUGAGUAACACGUGGAUAACCUACCUAUAAGACUGGGAUAACUACGGGAAACCGGAGCUACUACCAGAUAAUAUAUCGUACCGCAUGGUUCAAUAGUUAUUGACGCCUUUGCUGACACUUAUAGCUGGUUCCGCGCUGCAUUAGCUAGUUGGUAAGGUAACGGCCUACCAAGGCUACGAUGCGUAGCCGACCUGAUAGGGUGAUCGGCCACACUGGAACUGAGACACGGUCCAGCAUCCUACGGGAGGCAGCAGUAGGGAAUAUUGCGCAAUGGGCGAAAGCCUGAUAGAGCAACGCCGCGUGGGUGAUGAAGGACUUCGGCUCGUAAAGCUCUGUUAUUAGGGAAGAACAAAUGUGUCACUACCCAUGCACGUCUUGACGGUACCUAAUCAGAAAGCAACGGCUAACUACGUG
rnacentral:rRNA from 1 species